CCUCUCUCAGGAUCGCAUCUGGAGAGUUUCCAGUACUCUACCAGUCUCAGCUAUGGGAGGAGGAGUCAAGCAGAGUCAUACCCAUUCCAUUCCUAACUUGGCCAGUGGCUAGCAAGUGGAAGGCAUUCUGCUACAAGU
rnacentral:snoRNA from 1 species